rnacentral:misc_RNA from 1 species
GAUGAAGAACGUAGUGAAAUGCGAUAAGUAAUGCGAAUUGCAGAAUUCAGUGAGUUAUCGAAUCUUUGAACGCACAUUGCGCCCUGUGGUAUUCCGCAGGGCAUGCCUGUUCGAGCGUCAUUUCAACCCUCAAGCUCUGCUUGGUGUUGGGCCCUGCCCGCUGCGGCCGGCCCUAAAGACAGUGGCGGUGCCGCCUGGCCCUGAGCGUAGUACAUCUCUCGCUCCAGUGCCCGGUGGUAGCCUGCCAGAACCCCAACUCUCGUGGUUGACCUCGGAUCAGGUAGGGAUACCCGCUGAACUUAAGCAUAUCAAUAAGCGGAGGA